UACCAGCACCCCGAGUGGUCGGGACGAUUAUUGGGCCUAAAGCAUCCGUAGCCGGUUCUGCAAGUCCCCCGUUAAAUCCAGCUGCUCAACAGAUGGGCCGCGGAGGAUACUACAGAGCUAGGAGGCAGGAGAGGCAAGCGGUACUCAGUGGGUAGGGGUAAAAUCCGUUGAUCCAUUGAAGACCACCAGUGGCGAAGGCGGCUUGCCAGAAUGCGCUCGACGGUGAGGGAUGAAAGCUGGGGGAGCAGACCGG
rnacentral:rRNA from 1 species